UAGUAGUUCGAUGGAUUGAAAGAUGAAGAACGAGAGGCAGGGCACAAGCCUAGGUAAAAGGGAAGUCGAAUAUGGUGGAAGGAUAAUAACCCAUGGAGGUCGAGAGGUUCGACCUUAUCCUCGAAACGGCAAGAGAGGAGAUAGUGUUACCGCAAGGUAAGGCGUCAUGAAUGCGUAGGCAGCUCGUUUGUAACUCCCGGGAAUGAGUACAUUCCUUGUGUACGGGGCGAAGAGGGACUUGAAACAGUUGACGUACACCAUACA
rnacentral:ncRNA from 1 species